rnacentral:rRNA from 1 species
UACGUAGGGUGCGAGCGUUGUCCGGAAUUAUUGGGCGUAAAGGGCUCGUAGGCGGUUUGUCACGUCGGGAGUGAAAACUCGGGGCUUAACCCCGAGCCUGCUUCCGAUACGGGCAGACUAGAGGUAUGCAGGGGAGAACGGAAUUCCUGGUGUAGCGGUGAAAUGCGCAGAUAUCAGGAAGAACACCGGUGGCGAAGGCGGCUCUCUGGGCCUUACCUGACGCUGAGGAGCGAAAGCGUGGGUAGCGAACAGG